AACCAGUAUUUUCGCCCCUUCCCAAAAUUACUUCAACGGAAGGUUUCCAGAUGGAUAUGCGGAGCAAAUCCAUCUGGCGGAGUCAGGUUAGUGUGGAUGUGGGGUGUGUUUGUUGCUGACUGCUAGGACAGCGAUUUCACCUACACACUAAUAUAGUUAGAGAUAUUACUUUGGUAAGUUUGUGUUCAGGUCUAGUUUGAGGAUGUUAACUCUCUGCAGAGAUUCUACCCUUCUGAUCUAGGCCUGAUUUAACCUCAGUUUAUCUCACUGCAUGUUGGACUGAGCCUCUAUGGGCCUUGGCCUACCAGAAGAUCUACAGCGAUGGAAGAAGAGGAUCUUCACCUGAGCCACUGACUUUUACAAAGGUAAGUACGUGUCAGAAAGAACUCGCGAUCCAUAAUUUAAAUAUAGAGUAAACAUUGUAGGCCGCCUCAGGCUGCUUAAAUCAAAAAAGCGAGUUUCCAAUGCAGUUAUACUCACCUGUUCCUCGCUCCGCUCCGCUCUCCCAGUACUUCAGCCUUUCAUUUUGUUGUCUCUCCGGUUCCUCUGCGCCACUUUGUAACUUCUUUAUUUGUAAAUGGUAAAUGACUUGCACUUAUACAGCGCCUUAACUAGUCUGACAACCCCAAAGCGCUCUACACUACAACCAUGAUUUGUUUACACGUUAAUGCCCGCUUCCUGAUUCAACGAGCCAUUGAUCAAGAGCUUCCAGUCAGCAGGUCAUUAAAAGGACAUGGCAGAGAGAGAUGGGACGAGAGAAUGUGUGGAGUAGGCUUUUUAUUAAGAAAACAAACCAAUUACUUCUGUUACCAAGGCCUGGGCUGAAAUCACACAAGUUGUACGGUGGAACGUAGAAUGACAAUUGUGGCAAAAUCAAAGAAAAAACCCAAAAGUAGUCUCUUGAUUUCAGGAUUCACUCUGCAAAUCUUUGUCUCUCAUAUUAAGGGGUGGAUCAGUUUGGAAACCUUCCAUUUUACACCACCAUCAAGCUGAUGGAAAAAAAAAAAAAAACAGGAGAACUUCUAUUCACACAACAAAACAUUUGAAACGUGACCGAAGUUGAGACCAUUUUGGACUUUCUGCUGCUGUCCAUUGAUCCUGCUGCCUUGUCUCCAUUUGUGUUUGUUUGUUUUCAUGACUAAGCUCCUGGGAGCCUUGUGCUGAUGGAAGAAACGUCUGAAAUGACACGUGGAUGACGACCCAGACAGAGGAGCUGCUCCCCCUCCCCAGAUCUACCGAUUGCUACACGGUGUGGAAAAAGGAUUCGGACUCUGCAUAGCUCUGAGGUUUCAUCGUCCCGGGUUAGAUGUCAUCAGUUUGGGCUCCUCCACCCUCAACACCAGCAGACUGAUGGAGGAAGAUAAGAGAACCAAGUUGAAGAAAAAAGUAAGACACCCGUUUAUUUUCCAAAUAUGCACCAAGUUGAGCUAAAAGUUAACAGUUUUGAUUUCCUGCUGUCUACUUGUAUUCUUUCUCCUGAUUGACCCUGCAAUCUUCUCUCUCUCUCUCUUUUUUUUUUUUUUUGUCCAUUCAUGCCGAAAUGACUGAGCUUCUCUGAACUUUCCGCUGAUGGAAGAAACAUCUGGAACGGCACAUCGAUGACGACCCAAGCAGAGGUCCUUCUCCACGUCCUGAUCUGAUUAUACUAUAUUGUGGAAAAAAGCUAAGUGCACUCCCGCAUUAAAAACAAUACACGAUGUGGUCAAUGUGACCAUUUGCACCGGAGCGGCUCACAUACCACACAUUUUUCACACACGUCGCUUUACUCAAGUAAACACAAAGACGUGUUAAAAUGCGUUGCUUUGACGCAGUAUUCUGCAAAAUGUGUUUUUAUCCAUUAAGCUAAAUAAAAAUUGACAUUCUGAUUUGCCGAAAGGAGGAAUUACUUUACUGAAGAUGCAGACAUAAAUGCUGCGAAGUAAGUCCUUUAUGCAGAUAUCAGCUGAAACUCAUUUGCUGAUUAGAGUCUGGAAGCAACUGGAUGCUCUGGGCUUUUUCUGUCAGAGUAAAGGGGGCAGGACACAAAAGCACGCCACACUUUUCAGAUCAUGAUUUGCGAAGGAUUUUGAACCACCCUGUAAUUUCCCCUUCACUGUAUAAUGAUGCAUAACAUGAUGUGUGGAGUAAGCUUUUAUUCAGAAAACAAACCAAUUACUUCUGUUACCAAGGCCUGGUCUGAAAUAACACAAGUUGUACGGUGGAACGUAGAAUGACAAUUGUUGCAAAAUCAAAGAAAAAACCCAAAAGUAGUCUCUUGAUUUCAGGAUUCACUCUGCAAAUCUUUGUCUCUUAUAUUAAGGGGUGGAUCAGUUUGGAAACCUUCCAUUUUACACCACCAUUAAGCUGAUGGAAAAAAAAAAGGAACAGGAGAACUUCUAUUCACACAACAAAACAUUUGAAACGUGACCAAAGUUGAGACCAUUUUGGACUUUCUGCUGCUGUCCAUUGAUCCUGCUGCUUUGUCUCCAUUUGUGUUUGUUUGUUUUCAUGACUGAGCUCCUGGGAGCCUUGUGCUGAUGGAAGAAACGUCUGAAAUUACACAUGGACGACGACCCAAAAGGAGGAGCUGCUCCCCCUCCCCAGAUCUACCGAUUGCUACACGGUGUGGAAAAAGGAUUCGGACUCUGCAUAGCUCUGAGGUUUCAUCGUCCUGGGUUAGAUGUCAUCAGUUUGGGCUCCUCCACCCUCAACACCAGCAGACUGAUGGAGGAAGAUAAGAGAACCAAGUUGAAGAAAAAAGUAAGACACCCGUUUAUUUUCCAAAUAUGCACCAAGUUGAGCUAAAAGUUAACAGUUUUGAUUUCCUGCUGUCUACUUGUAUUUUUUCUCCUAAUUGACCCUGCAAUCUUCUCUCUCUCUCUUUUUUUUUGUCCAUUCAUACCGAAAUGACUGAGCUUCUCUGAACUUUCCGCUGAUGGAAGAAAUAUCUGGAACGGCACAUCGAUGACGACCCAAGCAGAGGUCCUUCUCCACGUCCUGAUCUGAUUAUACUAUAUUGUGGAAAAAAGCUAAGUGCACUCCCGCAUUAAAAACAAUACACGAUGUGGUCAGUUUGACCAUUUGCACCGGAGCGGCUCACAUACCACACAUUUUUCACACACGUCGCUUUGCAUGAGUAAACACAAAGACGUGUUAAAAUGCGCUGCUUUGACGCAGUAUUCUGCAAAAUGUGUUUUUAUCCAUUAAGCCAAAUAAAACUUGACAUUCUGAUUUGCCGAAAGGAGGAAUUACUUUACACCUGCUGAAGACGCAGACAUAAAUGACGCGAAGUAAGUCCUUUAUGCAGAUAUCAGCUGAAACUCGUUUGCUGAUUAGAGUCUGGAAGCAACUGGAUGCUCUGGGCUUUUCCUGUCAGAGUAAAGGGGGCAGGACAUAAAAGCAUGCCACACUUUUCAGAUCAUGAUUUGCGAAGGAUUUUGAACCACCCUGUAAUUUCCCUUCACUGUAUAAUGAUGCAUAACAUGGUGGUCUGUCACAUCAAAUCCGUCAAGGUUUGUGGAUUUAAACGGGACAAAAUGUGAAAAAGCUCAAGGGCUGUUUGUUUGUUUUUUUAACAUUGUGAUUAGAAACUAUUUUACACGGCUGAAACCAGGACUGGAUUGGUCGUUUCUGUCAUUCCUUUCUGUAGAUGACAUCUGCAGCCAGAUCUGUUCGGUUUCAGGGGAAAUUCUGACCAGUCGAAACUUCCUCCUCAUUUACGACGGGGCUCUGCUGCUAGUAAACGCUCCACCUCAUGGUUCACUCCCCACCGCCGUCCUGACUUUGGAGGGAUCCUGGGAAGGGAGGAAAUGUGUUUGCGUACAGCAUGUCAUGACAUACACCGCUUCCCUCUGCCCUUAUUUACACCUGCUUACAUAAAGACGGUGUUGAUGUUUAGGGAGUUUGCCAGGAGGUUUCUCA